rnacentral:tRNA from 1 species
GCUUUAAUAGUUUAAAAAAAAUAUUAAAUUGUGAUUUUAAAGAUGUAAAUUACUUAAAGCA